UACGUAGGGUGCAAGCGUUAUCCGGAAUUAUUGGGCGUAAAGAGCUCGUAGGCGGUUUGUCACGUCUGCUGUGAAAACUGGAGGCUCAACCUCCAGCCUGCAGUGGGUACGGGCAGACUAGAGUGCGGUAGGGGAGAUUGGAAUUCCUGGUGUAGCGGUGGAAUGCGCAGAUAUCAGGAGGAACACCGAUGGCGAAGGCAGAUCUCUGGGCCGGAACUGACGCUGAGGAGCGAAAGCGUGGGGAGCAAACAGG
rnacentral:rRNA from 1 species